rnacentral:rRNA from 1 species
GACAGAGGAUGCAAGCGUUAUCCGGAAUGAUUGGGCGUAAAGCGUCUGUAGGUGGCUUUUUAAGUCCGCCGUCAAAUCCCAGGGCUCAACCCUGGACAGGCGGUGGAAACUACCAAGCUGGAGCACGGUAGGGGCAGAGGGAAUUUCCGGUGGAGCGGUGAAAUGCAUAGAUAUCGGGAAGAACACCAACGGCGAAAGCACUCCGCUGGGCUGAUACUGACACUGACAGACGAAAGCUAGGGUAGCGAAAGGG